GUGCUUGUCUUGGCAGCAUAUAUACUAAAAUUGGAACAAUGUAGAGGAAAUUAGCAUGGUCCCUGUGGACGAAUGGCAUGCAAAUCUGUGAAGCAUUCUAUAUAUUU